rnacentral:lncRNA from 1 species
CUCUCCCUCCUUUCCGAACAGCGGCGAGAACUAAUGGCUGCCGAAUCCCUAGAAACCGACCUCGACUUUGCCUUCCGACUUCAACUCCAAGAAGCCAUAAACGCCUCCAUACCUCUCCUCCCUUCCACGGCCGCCUCCACGUCCGCCUCCAUACCUCUCCUCCCUUCCAACCGCCUCCACGUCCGCCUCCGCCUCUACCUCAACUGCGUCGCCUCUGAUUGGCAAAGUCGAAAUCACUGCACCUCUAUCCACUCUACAAUAUGAAGAAAUCUCAAAAUUAGAGCAAAAGCUAAAAGAUCGUAGACAAUCAGAAGUCGAA